UACGUAGGGUCCAAGCGUUAUCCGGAAUCACUGGGCGUAAAGCGUGCGUAGGUGGCGUGUUAAGUGUGAUGUUAAAUCGUGUGGCUCAACCAUAUCGAUGUGUCGCAUACUGGCAUGCUAGAGGACAGCAGAGGCAAGUGGAAUUUGUAGUGUAGCAGUGAAAUGCGUAGAUAUUACAAGGAACACCAAUGGCGAAGGCAGCUCGCUGGGACGGUACUGACGCUGAGGCGCGAAAGCGUGGGGAGCAAACAGG
rnacentral:rRNA from 1 species